rnacentral:rRNA from 1 species
ACUUCCCGAAUGCUCUAGAUUAGAGAUUGAUCCUGGCUCAUAAUCGACGCUGGCGGCGUGCCUCAGACAUGCCAGUCGAACGCGAAAGCCCCCUUCGGGGGGCAAGUAGAGUGGCGCACGGGUGAGUAACACGUAGGUAAUCUACCUUUGGAUGGGGAAUAACAACCGGAAACGGUUGCUAAUACCGCAUAAUGCAGCGGCACCUAAUGGUGACAGUUGUUAAAGCGGGGGAUCGCAAGACCUCGCGUCUGAAGAGGAGCCUGCGGCAGAUUAGCUAGUUGGUAGGGUAACGGCUUACAAAGGCGAUGAUCUUGUAGCCUGCC